rnacentral:misc_RNA from 1 species
GAAUUUUGGGAUCAAUUAUGCAAGCAUGUGUUGCCACUUAACGUGUAUAUUUAAUGAAGUGUUGGAAAAUUUUUUUUAUACAUUCGGCUUUUAAAAUACUGGAAACAUUAAAUAUAUUAAAAAUGUAUUAUAUUAGGAAUAUUAAAAAGUGCUAGAAAAAUAGAUUGAUAUUGAAAAGUGCAUGCUUGAAUUCAAUUUGAACAGUUGUUGAAAAUUUUCUGUUGGAAGAUUUUCAUUCACUGAGCUUAAUUAUUUUUCAUGCCAACAAAGUUAAGACCCCCCCCCCC